GGUGAACGCUGGCGGUAGGCCUAACACAUGCAAGUCGAACGGCAGCACAGUAAGAGCUUGCUCUUACGGGUGGCGAGUGGCGGACGGGUGAGGAAUACAUCGGAAUCUACUUUUUCGUGGGAGAUAACGUAGGGAAACUUACGCUAAUACCGCAUACGACCUACGGGUGAAAGCAGGGGAUCUUCGGACCUUGCGCGAUUGAAUGAGCCGAUGUCGGAUUAGCUAGUUGGCGGGGUAAAGGCCCACCAAGGCGACGAUCCGUAGCUGGUCUGAGAGGAUGAUCAGCCACACUGGAACUGAGACACGGUCCAGACUCCUACGGGAGGCAGCAGUGGGGAAUAUUGGACAAUGGGCGCAAGCCUGAUCCAGCCAUACCGCGUGGGUGAAGAGGGCCUUCGGGUUGUAAAGCCCUUUUGUUGGGAAAGAAAAGCAGCAGGUUAAUACCCCGCUGUUCUGACGGUACCCAAAGAAUAAGCACCGGCUAACUUCGUG
rnacentral:rRNA from 1 species